CACGUAGUCUGCCAUACGCA
rnacentral:rRNA from 1 species